rnacentral:rRNA from 1 species
AGUGAACGCUGGCGGUAGGCCUAACACAUGCAAGUCGAACGGCAGCACAGUAAGAGCUUGCUCUUACGGGUGGCGAGUGGCGGACGGGUGAGGAAUACAUCGGAAUCUACUUUUUCGUGGGGGAUAACGUAGGGAAACUUACGCUAAUACCGCAUACGACCUACGGGUGAAAGCAGGGGAUCUUCGGACCUUGCGCGAUUGAAUGAGCCGAUGUCGGAUUAGCUAGUUGGCGGGGUAAAGGCCCACCAAGGCGACGAUCCGUAGCUGGUCUGAGAGGAUGUUCAGCCACACUGGAACUGAGACACGGUCCAGACUCCUACGGGAGGCAGCAGUGGGGAAUAUUGGACAAUGGGCGCAAGCCUGAUCCAGCCAUACCGCGUGGGUGAAGAAGGCCUUCGGGUUGUAAAGCCCUUUUGUUGGGAAAGAAAAGCAGCAGGUUAAUACCCCGCUGUUCUGACGGUACCCAAAGAAUAAGCACCGGCUAACUUCGU